UCCCUGGCAGCCCAGAGGUUAGGACUUGGCACUUUCAAUGCAGUGACCCAGGUUCAAUCCCUGGCAGGGGAA
rnacentral:tRNA from 1 species